GAGGAUCCACGAUUCACAAUAUGUAAUAUCACAGCUUAUCAGCUACCUUCUGACCUCUGAACAGGUCACAGAGCAUGCCUAGAAAACUCUUCCAUAGAAGUCAAUGGGGUCAACGCCUGUUCAUUGUGUCUAUGGCCGAUGUAGCUGC